UGCCAGCAGCCGCGGUAAGACGUAGGACGCAAGCGUUAUCCGGAAUUACUGGGCGUAAAGCGCGCGCAGGCGGGUUAUCAAGUCAUGUGUGAAAGCUCCCGGCUAAACUGGGAGAGGUCAGAUGAUACUGAUAGCCUGGAGUGCAUCAGAGGUAAGUGGAAUUCCGCGUGUAGUGGUGAAAUGCGUAGAUAUGCGGAGGAACACCAGUGGCGAAGGCGGCUCACUGGCUCGAUACUGACGCUGAGGUACGAAAGUGUGGGGAGCAAACCGGAUUAGAUA
rnacentral:rRNA from 1 species